rnacentral:misc_RNA from 1 species
GAAAACUAUGGCAAUGAAAUAAGUUAGUUAAAAUUAUUAUAUGGAUGUAUUUUCAAGAUGCCCAUUGAUAUUUGAUGAUGCAAACUGAAGUGGUAUUUAGUGAAAAAUGUUGGUUUUGGGGAAAUUCCUUUCUUUUUAGAAUCUUCUAAAUGUGAAUGUGAUGUCUCAUUGAUGUUUCCUAUUUGUUGGUUUUUCAACCACCGCAAGUGCAU